rnacentral:rRNA from 1 species
GGAUGAACGCUAGCGGCAGGCCUAACACAUGCAAGUCGAGGGGUAKARRGAGCUUGCUUYYUWGAGACCGGCGGAUGGGUGAGUAACGCGUAUGCAACCUACCUUUUACAGGGGAAUAGCCCGGAGAAAUUCGGAUUAAUGCUCCAUGGUUUAUAKAKRUGGCAUCRYWUUUAUAAUAAAGAUUUAUCGGUAAAAGAUGGGCAUGCGUAUCAUUAGCUAGUUGGUGUGGUAACGGCAUACCAAGGCUACGAUGAUUAGGGGUCCUGAGAGGGAGAUCCCCCACACUGGUACUGAGACACGGACCAGACUCCUACGGGAGGCAGCAGUGAGGAAUAUUGGUCAAUGGAGGCAACUCUGAACCAGCCAUGCCGCGUGCAGGAUGACGGUCCUAUGGAUUGUAAACUGCUUUUGUACGGGAAGAAAUGUAAUUACGUGUAAUUAUUUGACGGUACCGUAAGAAUAAGGAUCGGCUAACUCCGU